ensembl:lncRNA
CUCUCUUGGAGCCCUUCUGUGAGUCCCGGACAUGGGACCAUUGAUAUUUCCUGGGGUGCCAGAUAAUUUGAGGCACGAGCUCUGGAUGGCAUGUGGUCCAAGGCUGCACUCCAGUCUGGGCUGAACAGGCAGUUGGCAGCUGAAGCUGUUGGAGCAUGAACUGCACAUAGUGAAACAUGGGAUGACUUCCUCUUGUGAUCUCAGUGUGGAGCUAGGAGAAGAGCCUGGCUGUAGAGAAUCCUAAAAGGUAGCUGAAGAAAGCAGAAUGUGCCACCUUUUCUUCUCCAGAGUGACUCAAGCCAGCUGUGUCAGCCUCUUCUCAUAUGUCCUGUGCUCUGUCCUCUUGCUCACCUGGGUUUUCUGGACGUUUUCUGUAGCUUGCUAAAGAUGUCUUUGUUUUUGUGGUGAGUCCUAAUGAGGACCUGGUCCUUCUACUGUGUCUCACAACUGCUGAAUAAGUGUAGGAACGACUUCCCCAACUCUGCUGGCAUGAAUGUGGUUAACAAUUUUGAGGAUGGGAAGCAGAAAGAUGGAAUCAGUAUGGGGCCUCUUCCUGAGCACAAAGUACCUACAAAAAGCUGAGCUCAGACUUUAAGGACCUUCCAACAGCAAGUAGAGAAUGUGUCAGAUGUUUUGCUCAAAUCUAGAUAAUGAACAUCUACUACUUUAAAUGAUUCAUUUCAUGGUAGAAAGCUGUCAGGUUGACCAGAGAAGAUACACAUUCACAGUUUUUGAACAUGGAUUUUGCAGUGCAAUAGAGAAGAUUUGUUGUAGAUAUAUUGCACUCAGUCUGGAUGCUUGUAGGAACACGUUCUUAUUGAGCAUUUAGUGGGUGUCCUCCUUCUACUGAGCCAAAGAAAUGAAUGAGAAAUUACUGGAAUAUAUUCACUACUAGUUUGCUGUGAAGUUCUAUUUUAUAACACCUUGUUUAGGAAAAGAAUUGUAAUUUUAAGAUGACUGUGUAUCUUUUUUGACCGAAGAUUUUCUUGCUGCUUGGUACUUGGUAUGACUCAUUCAAAUAUCUUCUAUAGACAGCGUGCUGCAUACCUUCAAGUCUCUCUUGUGUCUUUAAGGAAGUAAAACUUUACUGCGUCUUGCCAGCAAAAUAAAUAAAUAAGUAGAUAAAUAAAAUUGAGGCUUCAAAAAUUCUUCAAACACAACACAAUGGUAAGCAGUGUCUGUGUUCAUCAGUGUUACUAGAAUAUGUAUGUUAAUGAAUUACAUAAUUACAGUGCUAAUGAUCAUUAAUUCCAAAAGGCAAAUUAUUAUUUGGGGGAAUGUGUUGUGUCAUUAAAAAUUAGGGAAGCAAAAUACUUACAAUUGUCACAAAUGUGGCUGUAUAUUUUCAUAAUACAGUUACCCAUGUAGAUCUGUAUUUGAGGGAAAAAAAACCAUUAUUUUUUCCAUUUGUAAAAUAUGGUUUGUUAUUAGUCUUUUGUUGACUAAAUGAGUUCAU